rnacentral:rRNA from 1 species
AUGGAAAGAGGAAUAAAGGAACUCAAAAUCAUAAACAAACAUAAUCACUUGUUCUUAUUCCUUCUCCGAUACAGGAAAAAAAAGAGAAGAAUCAAACAACUGGAAGAAUUAAGCAGACUCUUACAACGAGUUGGAAGGGGUUGGUGGCGGUGGAGCGGGCGCAGUGGGAGCCGCCGAGCCGGCGAGCUUCGCCUCGCAGUCGAAGCACCACUGCCCGGCACUGCAGCCAGCACUCGUCGAACACUUGUCGCCUACCUGAAUUCAGAUUUUUUUUCGAAAAGGGGGGACUCCCCGGCCUAA